rnacentral:lncRNA from 1 species
CUGAGACAAGAACUCUGAGCAUGAGCCGCAGAAAGAACACUGUCCUCGCCCUUGUGGCAUGGAUCAUGUUGCUUGCACUCUUCAUCACAACGGCGACGGCCUCACUCCCAUGCCAAUGCUGCUGGCUGGUGCAGCAUCCGAAGGUGACAUGCGGCCACGCCUGCUGCGGCGACAACUGUUGCCCGCCCACGCCACCACCGUCCACCCGCUGAAUUCGAGAUAGAUCAUAAAUACAGUAUCAUGAUGAUACAUAAUAAACUCCGCCGGAAAGUUGUUAUAGUAUCCCGCCA